GUGCUCACUUUGGCAGCACUUAUACUAAAAUUGGAAUGAUACAGAGAAGAUUAGCCUGUACCCUGUGCAAGGACACACAAAUUUGUGAAGUGUUCCAUAUUUUA
rnacentral:snRNA from 1 species